UACGGGGGGGGCAAGCGUUGUUCGGAAUUACUGGGCGUAAAGGGCUCGUAGGCGGCCAACUAAGUCGGACGUGAAAGCCCUUGGCUCAACUGAGGAAGUGCAUCCGAAACUGGCAGGCUAGAGUACUAAAGAGGAUCGCGGAAUUCCCGGUGUAGAGGUGAAAUUCGUAGAUAUCGGGAGGAACACCGGUGGCGAAGGCGGCGAUCUGGGUAGAUACUGACGCUGAGGUGCGAAAGCGUGGGGAGCAAACAGG
rnacentral:rRNA from 1 species